ACUGUGAGCCUCCGCUGUCCCCUCUCUCUGCUGCGGCCUGCAACUCCCCACCUCACCAUCGCCAGACACCUCUCCUAGCUCACCGGAGCCGCGGACUACACAACGAGGUGGGACCUGGGGCCGUUCUCUGCACCGCGUCCGGUGCCCUCGUGACCUUGAGCUCUGCGCUCUCUCCACUGCAGACGCUGAAGAUGCCGUUCCUCGGCGGUUCCGCUCAAGGGAGCUUGUUGGUAGCACAGCAAUGGAGGUUGUCAGUGUUUCCACGGGGGUGAUGAAACCGCUCUUGUCCAAGCUAACCAUGCUGCUGGGGGAAGAAUAUGCCAAGUUCAAAGUGUUUGAACUGGCGGAAUCAAUGGAAUCAAUGGUUUGAUGGGGAGUUCAGCGAGUGGCUCAAAUUUUUGGCAAAUUGAAGAGGAGCACACAGAGCAUGCAACAGAUGGAGAGACUGAACAAGAGGUAGGAAUGGUCACACUCGAGGGUGCUAGUCAGUUCUUUGUUCUCAUCCAAACAACAUGCUGUUCCCUGUGAAUCCUGUUUUCUCCAUGAAUCUCCUCAUCUUGAUUUCCUU